GGGCCGUUAGCUCAGCUGGUAGAGCAGCGGACUUUUAAUCCGCGGGUCGUAGGUUCGAGCCCUACACGGCCCACCA
rnacentral:tRNA from 1 species